UGGGGAAUCUUCCGCAAUGGGCGCAAGCCUGACGGAGCAACGCCGCGUGAGUGAAGAAGGUCUUCGGAUCGUAAAGCUCUGUUGAUGGGGACGAACGUGCCUAAUGCGAAUAGUAUUAGGUAAUGACGGUACCCAUCGAGGAAGCCACGGCUAACUACGUGCCAGCAGCCGCGGUAAUACGUAGGUGGCGAGCGUUGUCCGGAAUCAUUGGGCGUAAAGGGAGCGCAGGCGGGCAUGUAAGUCUUUCUUAAAAGUGCGGGGCUCAACCCCGUGAUGGGAAAGAAACUAUGUGUCUGGAGUACAGGAGAGGAAAGCGGAAUUCCCAGUGUAGCGGUGAAAUGCGUAGAUAUUGUGAGGAACACCAGUGGCGAAGGCGGCUUUCUGGACUGCAACUGACGCUGAGGCUCGAAAGCCAGGGGAGCGAACGGG
rnacentral:rRNA from 1 species